UAAUACGAAGGGGGCUAGCGUUGUUCGGAAUUACUGGGCGUAAAGGGCGCGUAGGCGGCCUAAUAAGUCAGAUGUGAAAGCCCCGAGCUUAACUUGGGAACUGCAUUUGAUACUGUUAGGCUAGAGAGUGAGAGAGGAAAGUGGAAUUGCGAGUGUAGAGGUGAAAUUCGUAGAUAUUCGCAAGAACACCAGUGGCGAAGGCGGCUUUCUGGCUCACAACUGACGCUAAGGCGCGAAAGCGUGGGGAGCAAACAGGAUUAGAUACCCUGGUAGUCCACGCUGUAAACGAUGAGUGCUAGAUGUUGGAGGAUAAAUUCUUCAGUGUCGACGCUAACGCAGUAAGCACUCCGCCUGGGGAGUACGGUCGCAAGAUUA
rnacentral:rRNA from 1 species